UUUUUUCUUGGACCUUCUGCU
rnacentral:piRNA from 1 species